UGUAAAUAUUGUUCACAGUUGAGCCAAACAGAGGUCUGGAGUUAUACUUCUUUCUCCAAUUACAGGACUCCUGUGCCGCUGCUGGACAACUCCAAGCCUGAACUUCAAAUGGAUUAACUUUUCUUGUACUCCCCCAAUUAUGUAAAAUCAUGCAACAUUACAAUUUCCUUCGUUUCUAAAUAAUGACUUCCUUAUAUAUUUUCACCUAAAAUAUUGACUUGCUUUUUGGCUUUCUUGCAUCAUUUGCCUCGAUCACCUCCUUCACAUUUUCAGACUCCACAUCACACCGGCCGUGCAGCUCCCCGUCUCCCCAGAUCUCCAUUCUCCUGUUCCACGCUGCCUGGCUUCGUCUCCAGUCUUCCGCAUCCCUGUUAUCCUAGAACUUCUCUUUCUUGUCCUCCCACGUUGAGAUCACUGUCUCCAGAGCCUGUCUUUCUUUUCCUUGGAUAUGCCUUCGUUUUCCUGGAGUACAGUCUCAGGUAACUUCCACUAAAAAGACGUGUAUGGGGGUGAACCAUCUGAUUCCUGCCUGUCUGGAUUUUUGUUUUGUUUUGCUUUCACCCUUGGCUGGGAGUUCGGCUGGUCAUAGUCUUUGAAGGCAUCGCUUCCCUGUCUUCUAGCCUCCACGGUUGCUAAUGCCAGACGGAUUCUCGUUCCUUUGUAAUGAAAUAGUGUUUUCUUCAGCUGAAGCUCUUACAGGCCUGUCUUUCUUCGUGAUCUGAAAUUCCAAGCCGACAAGUCUAGGGGAUGGCCUUCUUUCCUCAUCUUUGGAACACGUGCCAGGCCUUCCUGGAAGGCUGCCGCCGGCUAGAGCCUGCGCAUGCGCAGUCCUCCCUUCCUGGCUCAGGGUCCCUCCCCUCCCACACAGCCUUCCGGUCGCGUGGGAACCUCCGCACCUGCCCAGGUGCGUGCCCCUGCACCGGGCCUCUGGCGGGCGGAGGGGAGGCCCAGGCGUCCCGUCCCGAUCAUCAGGGGUUGCCCGACAGGAGGCGGGAAGCUGACUCCUUACGGACGGGAGUGUGGGAAGCGGCGGGGCACACCGGCACCACGCGUAUCCUCCCAGCACCCUCUGCGCAGCCUAGGCGGGAUCCCGCGAGACCAGGCUCGCUUGGAACGAGUGCUUCCUGAGGACGUGCAGGCCCCUGAGUCGCCCUGAGGAAGGCGAUCAGAAUUGAUUCUCAGAAGAUUGGUGAAGGAAAAAGCUUUGAAGGGUGAUCUCUCUGGGCCAGGCUAGUGGCCACUAUUUGGAAAACAAUGGCUCUCUUCUCCCCGGCAGAUCACGUCAGUGCGAGAUGCUUCAGGCUGUGGCUCAGUCCUAUUAGGAUUGUAAGGAAGUAUGGUCUGUGGGCAGAAUUUGCAGAGAUAAAUGACUACCAGGGGAGAAAGUCAUUUAGUGGCGGAUUCCUGGGAACUUGGAUCUGGAAAAGACUCUAAAGAACAUUUGGUCCAAUCAAAGACUUUUGUCUCCAGCAGUUGGAAUAGAUGGAUUUUUGGUAGGUUAAUGAACGCUUCAUCAUUUGCACAGUUCAAGACCACAUUAGACAGUUAUUUCACACCUGAGCAAGUGUACUUAGAAAUGUUUUCCUUGAGGAGAACCAGUUUCCCUCCUUAUAACUCCCAAACUUUGAUCCUAAUUCUGCCUUGUGCUAUAAGAUAGAAACAUCUCUCCCUUGCCUACACGACAGCCCUUUCAGUGUUUGCAGACAGCCAGUCCAUCUUCCCUAGUCUUCUUGGUUGCAGCUUAAAUAGUCUCUGUAUGAAAAGUCCCAGCAUAUACAGGCUGUUAUGACAAAAGAAACCUAACCACCAUAUGCUGCUUUGAAAAUACCCCUCGGAGAGGCAGGGUGCAGUUUCUAGGAGAGCAUGUUAUUGUCGAGUGUCAGAAAUUUGCAGUUGGUCUUGGCUCCUGCUGUUUCCAAAUGUGUGACCUUAGGGAAGUCCUCUACCUUCUAACUUCUUGUGCUGCCCUUGUAAUGUUUUGUUAUCAGAGUUAAGCUAAUUUUAUCAAAUGAGUUGGGUAGUGUUCCCUUUUUUUCUAUAAUCUGGAAGGGUUUGUGUAUGAGGUCUGUCUCAAGUGGUAAAGAAAAUAAAAUUCCAUAAAGUGACAAAUAACAUUUUGACAAAUUCCUAUCAAGAAAGAAGAUCUCCGUUCAAACUUACUUUAUACCAAUAUUAACCAAGAAUUGUUAGUCAAACCUCUCUUCUAGUUGAAAUAUUGUGAGUCCUUGUUAGGCACAGGUAAAAUACAAGGUAAUUAUGUGGAGGUUUUAAUGGGAAGAACCAAGAUGUAAGGAUAGAGUUUCCCAGCAUUUUUACCCAUCACCAAAUUUUAUAUACAUAUAUAUGCAUAUAUAUACACACACACACGCAUACAUAUAUAUACAUAUAUAAAUGCAACAAAGAUUGCCCAAUACAUACUCUUACUAUGUGCAAUACAUUAUGACAUUUUGUAUUCUAGUCUAGUCUCUUUAUAAAACAUUCCAGUUAUAACUGACUUAGUUGAUUUCAUGACAUAUUAAUGUGUCACCACAUAUAGUUUAAAAAAUUCUACUUUAGGGGUCUUGGGACUUGCUUCAGACCAUGCUAUGAAUUCUCUAUGUGACUUACGUUACCUAAUGUCUCUGUGUCUCGGCUUCCUGUAAAAUGCCACUGAGCUCACAGACUCGCUGUAAGUAUUAAACGAGAUAUAAGUUUUAAUAUUAUUUUGAAAGAAGCAUAAAGACUAAGAGAAGUAAGAAGUUUUUAUUCAGGGAUUAAUAUCAGAGCAAUCAGUGCUCCAGAAACUGGACUUUGCAUCAUAACACAAAAACUAGUGUAGGAAAACAACUUUAAAUAAUGAGUUUAAAAGGUUAAACAAAC
rnacentral:lncRNA from 1 species